GACGAACGCUGGCGGCGUGCUUAACACAUGCAAGUCGAGCGGUAAGGCCCUUUCGGGGGUACACGAGCGGCGAACGGGUGAGUAACACGUGGGUGACCUGCCCUCAGCUCUGGGAUAAGCCUGGGAAACCGGGUCUAAUACUGGAUAUGACUCCAUGACGCAUGUUGUGGGGUGGAAAGCCUUGUGCGGCUGAGGACGGGCCCGCGGCCUAUCAGCUUGUUGGUGGGGUGAUGGCCUACCAAGGCGACGACGGGUAGCCGGCCUGAGAGGGCGACCGGCCACACUGGGACUGAGACACGGCCCAGACUCCUACGGGAGGCAGCAGUGGGGAAUCUUGCGCAAUGGGCGAAAGCCUGACGCAGCGACGCCGCGUGAGGGAUGACGGCCUGG
rnacentral:rRNA from 1 species